rnacentral:rRNA from 1 species
CACGUAGUUGGCCGGUCCUUCUUCUAUAGGUACCGUCACUUGCGCUUCGUCCCUACUGAAAGAGGUUUACAACCCGAAGGCCGUCAUCCCUCACGCGGCGUCGCUGCAUCAGGCUUGCGCCCAUUGUGCAAUAUUCCCCACCGCUGCCUCCCGUAGGAGUCUGGGCCGUAUCUCAGUCCCAGUGUGGCCGGUCACCCUCUCAGGCCGGCUACCCGUCGUCGCCUUGGUAGGCCAUUACCCCACAACAAGCUGAUAGGCCGCGGGCCCAUCCCACACCGCAAAAGCUUUCCACCACACCCCAUGAAGAGCGCGGUCCUAUUCGGUAUUAGACCCAGUUUCCCAGGCUUAUCCCAAAGUGCAGGGCAGAUCACCCACGUGUUACUCACCCGUUCGCCACUCGAGUACCCCGAAGGGCCUUUCCGUUCGACUUGCAUGUGUUAAGCACGCCGCCAGCGUUCGUCCUGAGCCAGGAUCAAACUCU